AGAUUUGUUAGGCUAACAAACUGAAGAAAUAUCUCUUGUGCACUCUUUUUUUUCCUCCUCCUCUCAUCUCUCCGCCACUAGUGCUGUGCUUCGUUUGCUCCUCCUCUUCCUUCUCAGCUCCUAUUCGUCGAGCUCUCUCUCUCUCUCUCUCUCUCUCUCUCGUAUGCCUCUCUCCUCAUCGGAUCCUUCUUUUUAUCUCUAUAUCCGUUCAUUUUUGUUCCAAUUUUUUAUCUGGGUUUUGCUUGUUUGAUCCAAAGCUCAUCAUUUCACCAAAAACAAAGCCCACUUUUCUCUUCAAAAGUCAUAGCAGAAUCCAAUCUUUUCAAUGCCCCCCUUUUCUCUAUUUCCUAUGCAACCAUGAGAUUUAGAUGAAUCGGACAUAGCAGGUCUUGUCAUGCAAGUUCCUAUGAUCAUCUGAGCCACUUCUAUUGUUGAUUUGGUGUAAAUGGGUAGAGGCAGAGGAAAAGGAAAGAAACCAUCAACUGUUAGAAACCAUGAAGAUCCAGGAAGCGGUGGUGAAGAAGUGCUUCCUACGUAUAAGAGGAGGGGAAGGCCACAAAAGCCCUUGAAAGAGGACAUUGAUGAAGAAGAAGGUGGAAAAGUUGAGAAAGAAGAAGUCGAAGAAGGAGAUGAUGUGAAACCCACAUCUUUAAUCAAAGAAAAUAAGAACUCGGUUGAAAAUGGAAAGAAGAGGAAGAGGAACUUGCAAGUUAAAGAAAGUUCUGAUUCUGUCAUAGAGGAAGAUAAUUCUUCUUUGAAGUCUAAUGGUUUUCGGCAAAAUGGAAGCAGGAGAAAAAGUAAGCCCCGGCGAGCUGCUGAAGCUGGAGUUGAGUGCAAGUGAGAUUGAUUUUCGACCAUUGGUAAUGGUUUUGGUUCGGGCCGUCACUAGUUAUACAAGAUGUUUGGGCAGACCUCAGCAUGUCUUACAAUCACGACAAGGCAUAAUGCAGAUCAAAAGCGAUGCUUGGCCCAGUAGGUUCUGUUUAUCAACUUAUCUGAGCAAAACGUUGUUGUAGUUCUUCAUAUCAGCUUGUUGGGUCAAACUCAAUGAAAGGGGAUUCACAGACUCGUGACCAUUUUAGAUGAUUUAGUCAAGUCUAUGUCAGAGAUAUUUAAGUAAGAGUUGUUAGAGCGAAAUUUGGAGGAGAAAACUACAACAAAAUGGGUAAAGAUGGGAAGGUUGGAAAUUUGAUUACUUCCUUGUUGGAGAAUUUUUUUUAUAAAAAAAUUAGUGAUAAUUAGAAAGGCAUGGUUCCCAAACUAUUUCUUCUUCUUCUUCUUCUUCUUUUUUAUUUUAUUUCACAAUCUUAGCUUUGUUAUUAGGUCACAAUGCGUUGACUAGUGGGACCAAAAGACUUUACAAUUUGAUGGUGGGACUGAACAUGUCUUGCAGUUUCUUCUCGUGCUUUUGUUGCCUAGAAAUUAGAGACUGAAUAAAGCCUGAACUUUGAGCUGA